CCCAAAUGUUCCUGAAUUGCAUGCAGGAAAAGAAGUCAAAAGCCUUGAUCCAUUGGUUCAGUCAUCAAGUCUCGGGCCCACAACACCUCUUGAUAGAAGUAAACUUCUGGGUCUGGCCGUAUCACAAGCACAGGGAGGAGGUGAGCCUAAAAUAAAGGGCACAGUGAGUCAUGAAGCUGCACUGGCAGGUGGAGGUGCACGAAGACAACUGCCUGUCGAGACAGACAACGUCAGAAGUCUGGGUUCUGCUUCUCCUCGUGUACAGAGUGCCAGAGACUACGACUCAUCUAUUCAACGUAUUCAGGGAGGCAAAGACUGUGGAUCACGUAUUGAUUUGUCAGAAAUCAGUCGCUAUGAGCCUUUAGGUUCAGAAACUCAAAGGACUCAAAGUUUAAUGCCACAUCUUGGUGAAAAGAGCAAACAUCUGGGAGGUGAAACUGCACCAGCACAAGGAGAAACCUUCAGACUGCCUCUUUCACAAGACCGAGAUAUAUUCUCCACUCCACAGGGAGGCAGACAGUAUUUAUCCGCUGCGGCAGAGAGGCAGGGUGUCAAAGGAUUAGUGGCAAAAGGCACAAACGGACUUCAGAUCCGUGGAACUGUCACUGUAGAAAGCCGUAGUCAUGGUCCCACAAAUCGUCAGAUGCAAGGAGGGCUGAUCCCAGCUGCAAGUGGAACCCAGAGUUUAGGCAUCGCCUCAAUAAGAGGAGGGCAGGAAGUUCCAGGCUUUACUGCUGAUGGUCAGGAUGCGAAACUUCUUUCCCAAGGUGAUGUCAAAAGAUCAAAAGGUCUCCAUAUCCCAGAGCAGACAGGGAGGAAUACCCAGGCAACAAGUUAUAUUGGUGGAGCAGGGAACUAUCUGGGAGCAAGCCUGGGUGCUGGGGGCUAUGGAGCAGGUAAUGUUGGGCGAUGACACGUAAACUGUAAAAAGUAAAGGUCAGUUUUAGCAGAUGCAGAUACUGAUGCAGUAUGUACUGUUGUCCAACUGUCUGCAGGUUUGG
rnacentral:lncRNA from 1 species